rnacentral:lncRNA from 1 species
CUUAUAGUUUCCUGUCGCUUCUUCCCUGGUUGCUCUAAUGAUGCUGCUGACAAUUUCCUGCCUCUUGGUAGGGGGUUCCCUUGCAACUGGAUCGCUAUGGUGACUCACAGCUUCCUGUUGCUAUGGAGCUUUUUCUUCCCUGAUGGAGCAGCUUGGUUGCUUAAGGUAAUCUGGAGGGAUUCUGUACUCUGCUCUCACCCUAGCUUCCCCUUCAGCCCCAGAAACACUUGACUCUUCUGGAGAUGUGUCCCCAGGACCAAGAAACAGCCCCAGCCUGCAACCCCCCCACCCUGGGAGCAGCACUCCCACCCUGGCCAGUCGAGGGAUCUUAGGGCUAUCCCGACAGAGUCAUGCUCGAGCCCUGAGUGACCCCACCACGCCUCUGUGACCUGGAGAAGAUCCAGAACUUGCGUGCAGCUUCUCCUCUCAGCACACUUUGGGCUGGGAUGGCAGUGGGGCAUAAUGGAGCCCUGGGCGAUCGCUGAAUUUCUUCCCUCUGCUUCCUGGACACAGAGGAGGUCUAACGACCAGAGUAUUGCCCUGCCACCACUAUCUCUAGUCUCCCUAGCUUGGUGCCUUCUCCUGCAGGAGUCAGAGCAGCCACAUUGCUUGCCUUCAUACCCUGGAGGUGGGGAAGUUAUCCCUCUUCCGGUGCUUUCCCAUCCUGGGCCACUGUAUCCAGGACAUCACUCCCAUGCCAGCCCUCCCUGGCAGCCCAUGUUCUCCUCUUUUCUCACCCCCUGACUUUCCCUGAGAAGAAUCAUCUCUGCCAGGUCAACUGGAGUCCCUGGUGA